UACGUAGGGCGCAAGCGUUGUCCGGAAUUAUUGGGCGUAAAGAGCUCGUAGGCGGUCUGUCGCGUCUGUUGUGAAAACUCGAGGCUCAACCUCGGGCUUGCAGUGGAUACGGGCAGACUAGAGUGCGGUAGGGGAGACUGGAUUCCUGGUGUAGGCGGUGGAAUGCGCAGAUAUCAGGAGGAACACCGAUGGCGAAGGAGGU
rnacentral:rRNA from 1 species